rnacentral:rRNA from 1 species
UAGGGAAUCUUCCACAAUGGACGCAAGUCUGAUGGAGCAACGCCGCGUGAGUGAGGAAGGUCCUCGGAUCGUAAAACUCUGUUGUUAGAGAAGAACACGAGUGAGAGUAACUGUUCAUUCGAUGACGGUAUCUAACCAGCAAGUCACGGCUAACUACGUGCUAG